AUCAGCCAGAAGUCACUUCACACAGGACUCAAGGAAAUGCAGUCUGGAUAGGAGCACCUUCUGCAUGAAAGCAAUGUGAACUUUCAACAGACCUGCUACAGGAAGUUCUUAAGCACAGGAAGAACUAAAUGAGGGCAGGAGGAUCUUCCUUAUAGAGUGGCUUGUUUUUUCCUGACAUGGUCAAGAAUGGCCUGAAUCAGAUGAAAUGACUCAAUGAUUAUGGCCUGAAUCAGAGAAA